ensembl:lncRNA
CCAUGUUGUUGCAGUAUAUUAAUAACUAGCCUCGUAUUGUGGAUGGAUAAUCUUAGUUGUUCUCUUGACUGAAGUUUUGUCCGUUUACAGCAUCCUGCCAUGCGAUUGCAUUUGUCCCUAACAAUCGGGAACCCUCACGUUAACGUUCAUCGAGUGGAAAAAGUACAUGGUACCAUCGUGUGCAGCUGGAUGGACAUGGCGGAUGAGAAAAAAGAUUACCUCAGGGUAGGUGUAGAUGAGCCCCAGGCACAAUUUCAGAGAACCACUUCCAAUCUAGGACACACUCACAAAACCUCUGGGCGGAAGGAACCAUCAGGAUUACUCUCCAGUCUGAUUAAUAUGGACAAAAGAAAGGAAAGAUGUGUAUGUAUUGCAUGCCCAACCUCUUGGCCUCUCAUUUCACUAUCCAAUAUAUGUUGUUUUUCUUUUUUUCCUUUUUUUUCACACUCAGGACGACUAAGAAGAAGGAGGCGGACACGUUGCACCUUCUGACAUUCAUCUUUUUUACAGCAGCAGUGUAGCUUGUCUGCAUGCAGCUCUUUCAGCUAACAUAAUCAGAUUUCAUUAUACUGUGCUACAGCUGGCCUGUUACAGAUUUAAUCAAUCGUCUAAUCGUAGUAUUGCCACUAAUUACAAAUACGUAUUGAGAUCAAUAUGCAUUUCACACAUGCAGAAUCUCUCAGGAGAAAAUGCUGCACAGUGUGUGGCAUCGUGUAUAAACCAACCAGCUGGAGAGAUCCAUAAAUUAAAUAUGAAUAUCGCAGUUGUACAACUGAAACCUCCCCUGUUCUUUCACGUGAAAUGUAACCCAUACUGAAUACUGUAGUAUAAUACUAUAAAGCCAAUUUAGGCCCCUAACUGAAUUAAUCUGGUCAUUAAUUAAGACGGGAUGAUUAAAGGAAACACCCCGAGUGUGUUUCUGUCUUGAAAAGCUGCUACAUGAUUUUAAGCCAGUCUGUCAUAAAUCUAUCUACCAUUUAUGUUGCUUGGUUUGAGUGAUGAGUUUA